AGUUGCUGGUCGCGGGGUGUUGCUGCAGAUCGUCUCAAAGAGGAUACGAUGUGAGGUCAACUUCCCACGAUUAUGAAUCGUUUAUGUUGAUGAAGGCCUUGCGAAAACAUAUUGUACUUCGUUUAGGGUCUGGCGGCCACUAUGGAAAGAGUUCUGUCUUGCAGCAGCGACAAUAUUUCUGUCCUCCCUUAGCUGAGAUCCACUACCAGGCCUCCUAUUGGCACUUUCAGUCUCUUGGAAUAUGGCCAAAGCCCGGGAAACCACGCUGUGAGAAACGCCAACUAGCUCUGCGAUAUCCACUUGCCGGUGACCUCGAUGACUCAUUCUCACAAUAAUAUUGAGAACUUCUGAUAAGAUUACGUCUUUCCUUGGUUAAAGAGAAUACAACUGGAUUAAAAUAGAAAAAAGACGAGAAAAGGUGUUUGUUUAGUAAAUGAGAAAUCUUCGUGUUUACUACUCUUAAGUAAAUCCGUUUUUAAAAAUAUCAUAGUCUAGCUUCACCCCCUCAAUUCAACCCAAGACCAACCAGCACCCGAGGCCCCAGACAGUCGUUGCCACAACCGAGCCCUGCCACGCCGCCAACAUGGGGUGCCAGCAUUGUUAACAAAAAUUUAUGGAUUGGAGGUUGUUGCGGAUUUGGUGGAAGUAUAAAAAAUAACAUUUAAAAAAUUCAGCAGUAAAACUGGAAAUGAUGAAGGCUGAAAUG